AGCAAAUCAAGAGGCAGUGUAAAGGUUUGAUUAAGCAAAACUUAAUUAAGAAUGACUCACUUGUAUGAGAAUCAUCCCUGAUCAGGAGCCUUUUAUUCUUCAUUUCUGUAAGGUUUUGCUUGUUGUGACCAACAUGAAAAUUAGGAGAAGUAUAUUAAUGCCAUAUAUUAUUGAAUGGGCGUGCAACAAUUUUGAUGUGUAUUGUCAUAGUGCAAUCAAAGUAAGCACAACAUUUGUUGGUCGAGGUGCUGUUAGCGAUAUUAAUUUCAUAGAAUAACAUUCUUGCAUGGAAUGGAUUUUCUUGUCUUCAAUCUUUCAUGGAUUACUUUUUUGUUUUAUUAAAUGGAUACUUACUUGUUGCUUAGCCACUGACUGGAUCCCUUCUCUUUGUAGAGAUCAAGCGAUGUUCAAGCAG
rnacentral:misc_RNA from 1 species